UACGGGGGGGGCAAGCGUUGUUCGGAAUUACUGGGCGUAAAGGGCUCGUAGGCGGCCAACUAAGUCAGACGUGAAAUCCCUCGGCUUAACUGGGGAACUGCGUCUGAUACUGGAUGGCUUGAGUUUGGGAGAGGGACGCGGAAUUCCAGGUGUAGCGGUGAAAUGCGUAGAUAUCUGGAGGAACACCGGUGGCGAAGGCGGCGUCCUGGACCAACACUGACACUGAUGAGCGAAAGCCAGGGGAGCAAACGGG
rnacentral:rRNA from 1 species